ensembl:snRNA U6 U6 spliceosomal RNA
GUGCUCACUUUGGCAGCACAUAUACUAAAAAUUGGAACGAUACAGAGAAGAUUAGUGUAGCCACUGUGCAAGGAUGUCACAAAUUCGUGAAGCGUUCCAUAUUUAA